rnacentral:rRNA from 1 species
AUUGAACGCUGGCGGCAGGCCUAACACCUGCAAGUCGAGCGGAGCGGCAGACGGGUGCGUAAUGCCUAGGAAUCUGCCUCGUAGUGGGGGCUAACGUCAGGAAACGGUCGCUAAUACCGCAUACUAUCAGAAGAACCUAGGGGGGAUUAGCUAGUUGGUGGGGUAAAGGCCUACAAAGGCGACGAUCCAUAACUGGUCUGAGAGGAUGAUCAGGCACACUGGAACGGAGACACGGUCCAGACUCCUACGGGAGGCAGCAGUGGGGAAUAUUGGACAAUGGGCGAAAGCCUGAUCCAGCCAUGCCGCGUGUGUGAAGAAGGUCUUCGGAUUGUAAAGCACUUUAAGUUGGGAGGCGUUACCAACAGAAGAAGCACCGGCUAACUUCGUGCCAGCCGCCGCGGUAAUAC